AAGGAUAAAUUCUACUGUUUAUAAGCCACCCAACUUGUAUUAUUCUGUUACAGGUAAAAGCCACUCCCCAUGUGCCUUGUGCCUCCUACUGGGACCUCAGUCUACUCCAGCACAGAUUAAGAUCCCAUAUGAGGAGAAUGAAGAGUCCCCUGAGUGGAUUGUGAUUUGUUUAACCUCCUUUGGAUGGAUUUUGAUUGGCCAUUUCUCUUAUCCAUCCUACAUAGUCAAGUUGUAGGAUGGUGAACUUAAUGAGACAGAAUGAAAGACUUCCCCUUGGUAAGUAAAGAGACACUCUAGCUUGAGAAACAGGUUUCUCAUUUCCCUUUCUUCCUUCCUGGAAGGUGGGCAUACCAGCACACCUAACAUCUCCCAUGGAAGUAGCCACCUCAGGACCAUGGCAUAAGGGCAUGAGAACAAAGCCAACACAGUAAGGAUGGCGGAGCAGAAACUGCUCACAAUAGUAUCACUAAGCAUCUGAAUCUAUAAUUGACCUUCAUAAGGAUCAAAAAUCUAUGAAGGCAAAAGAAAAAAAUAACCUGAGGAAACUGAAGAAAGAAAACAGUAUAGAUAAGAACGUAAAUCAGUGACACUGAAAACUUAAAAGCAAUAGAGAAAAUCGGGCUCUCAGAGAGGAUCAACAAAGUGGGCAGACAUCUAGCAGGACUGACAGAAGUGGGAAGACACCGACCAGCAACAUCAAAGAUGGAGCGGGUACCGGCUCUAGAGCCCAGACAUGAAAAGGACAAGAGGAGUCACCACAGUCAACACCCCACAUUCACCCAGAAUGUCAGGCAUUUCUACUAUGUAUCCGAGGCUAGCUCAUUGUGUGAAAAUCAAUCAGCAAAAUCCACAUCAAAAAUUAAAGAACAACUACAUCGUCAUUUUAAUUUAUUUGUGUGUGUGUACAGACACAUACACAUGAACAUAUGUACACAUACAUGCACAUGGCCACAAAAGCCAGAAGGCAGCACCAGAUUCUCUGGAACUGGAGUUUCAGGCUGUUGGGAGCCAUCUGACGUGUGCGCCGGGAUAUCAGCAGGGAUAUAGCAUGUUCUUAAUUGGACAAUUUGACUUAAUAAAGAUAUGUUUCUAAGUCCCUAAUGCCAGCUUAGAAAAACCCUGUCUAUGGGCUUGCCACGGCUCCCUCCCUGUUCCUCCUCUUCAGGAAUGCUCCCCUGGCUUUUUUGGGAGUCAGAGAACUCUCUUUUUCAUUUCUGUAUCGAAUUGCCUGUGCCCCACCACAUCAGGUGUGGAGAUAUCUGAGGUCUGGGCAAAGAUGGAUGAAAGCUGGGAACUUGUUGAACAAGCCAGCUUAACCUGGGCCUAGAAUGGAAAGCCAGAAGAUACAAUAACACUGAAUUGUGUGAACCAGUUUCUCCCUUCCCUUCUCUUCCCUUCCUCCCCUUCCUUCCCUCCUCCCCUCCCCUCUCCUCCUUUCCCCUCUCCUCCCUUCCCUUCCCUUUCCUUCCUUUCCCUUUUCUUUCUUUCCUUCUUAUUUUUGGCUGCAUGUUUUCUUUUGGGUUGCUGGCUCAGGUCCAGAUUACUGAACCCUUUCAGAUGAAGAUAUCAAGAGUCAGCUUGACACUGUGUAUGCUCCAUACAAAGAUUCUAUGGAAAGCUCAAGGUCUCCUGUCGCAGCAGUGGGCAUACCCCUUACUGUUUAAAAGGCAGCUGGGUGGAAGCUCUGCAAUGGAGGUUUACACACAAGAUUGCUUUACCAUUAUAAAAAUUAAAAUAAUUUCUACAAGGUUUAUAAUUCCGACAAAAUUAUUGAAAUUGAAAGAACUGGGAUCAAAUUGUUUUUAAAGGGAACUCAAUGUGAAGAAUUCAUCUACCCAAUUUUGU
rnacentral:lncRNA from 1 species